UGACGACCGGCGCACGGGUGCGUAACGCGUAUGCAACCUACCUUCUACAGGGGGAUAGUCAAUAGAAAUGUUGAAUAAUACCCCAUACGAUCUUUGAAUAGCAUUAUUUAAAGAAGAAAGUUCCGGCGGUAGAAGAUGGGCAUGCGUCCUAUUAGUUAGUUGGUGAGGUAACGGCUCACCAAGACUUCGAUGUCUAGGGGUUCUGAGAGGAUUAUCCCCCACACUGGUACUGAGACACGGCCCAGACUCC
rnacentral:rRNA from 1 species